GAUGAAGAACGCAGUAAAUGCGAUAAGUAGUGUGAAUUGCAGAAUUCAGUGAAUCAUCGAAUCUUUGAACGCACAUUGCGGCCAUAGGUAUUCCUUUGGCCAUGCCUGUUCGAGCGUCAUUUACACCCUCAAGCCUAGCUUGGUGUUGGGCGCCUGUCCCGCCGUUUUCGCGCGCGGACUCGCCUCAAAGUCAUUGGCGGCGGUCGUGCCGGCCCCCUCGCGCAGCACAUUUGCGCUUCUCGGAGGCCCGGCGGAUCCGCGCUCCAGCAAGACCUUUCACGACUUGACCUCGGAUCAGGUAGGGAUACCCGCUGAACUUAAGCAUAUCAAUAAGCGGAGGA
rnacentral:misc_RNA from 1 species